AAAAAAAAAUUGUCUAAAGUAAAUUAUUUAAAAAAUUCUCACUUAAACCAGCUGUUUAUCCAAUAUAAGGCUCAACAGAAAUAGUUACAUAAAGUUAGUAGGUCAUUAAAACAAUUUAGCCAUUCAAAUCAUUCAAAUAAAAAUGAACAUCAUGUAACACUAAAAUCAAAUUAUAGUCAGGGGCAGGAUUUCAGCAACAGCAAGAGAAAGUAGUACAAAUAGGAAUGAGCAAAGAAUAGACAAGUAAUGGGUAUGAAUUGGCCUGGGAAAUAUUGUGGCAAUGUCCAAAGAUAAAUCAAUAGUUAUUUGUGAAACAAGUGAAAAACAACACAUUCUCAGUCCAGGAAAGCCACCAGGGGGCGGUCUGGGUCUCUUGGAUUGUAAGAAGCUCAAGAGGUUCAAACUUAAUGAACCCUGCACAGUUGCUCACUGACUCAUGUAAAUGUUAAAGCAGCUGCUUCCUCCCACGGGGCAAAUCCACAGCACCCAACCUCCCUGGGCUGGCCCCUCACAGUGUAGCUGCUCUCAGGGCUGUGGACCCGGGUGGUGAUAAAGGCAGUAAGGAUUUGCAUAAAGCAGCACACAACACACCCCCUCCAUGCGGAGAGCUCAAUAGGAGAUAAAGAGCCAUCAGAAUCCAGCCCCAGCUCUGGCGCCAGGGGUCCCUUCCAGUAUCAGCACCAUGGCCUGGACUCUGCUCCUCCUCCAGUUCCUGCUCACUUGCUGCCCAGGGUCCUGGGCCCAGUCUGCGCUGACGCAGCCGCCCUCAGUGUCUGCGGCCCCAGGACAGAAGGUCACCAUCUCCUGCUCUGGAAGCAGCUCCGAUAUCGGGAAUUAUGCAGUAUCAUGGUACCAGCAGCUCCCAGGAACAGCCCCCAAACUCCUCAUCUAUGAAAAUAAUAAGCGACCCUCAGGGAUUUUUGACCGAUUCUCUGGCUCCAAGUCUGGCACGUCAGCCUCCCUGGGCAUCACUGGACUCCAGACUGGGGAUGAGGCCAAUUAUUACUGCUUAGCCUGGGAUAGCAGCCUGAUGGUCAGAUUUAGCACCAGUGUCUGGGGAGGAGGGACUGAAGCCCGGGGAAGGGGAGAGGCUCAAGGCUGGCCUUAG